rnacentral:lncRNA from 7 species
AUGCGAGAUCAAAAGUGAUUCGAUAAAGGGCAUGCUCAUCCAAGACGAUGGAGUAGAGUUGCCUGUCCACGACGCGAGGCAGACCCGCCGAAAAAACUUCGGACUCCGGCGAUGGAUUUCGGCGCCCAGGGACUCGAUUCGCACCCGUCGACGAACUAUGAGCACUGGUAUGCCCCAGCGCCCGAGACAAUCUCCUCCGACCGAAGCAGCCUGAUUCAUCCACCCACGGUGUCGUGCCAACUGCGGUGGUACGCAUCGAGGCAGUGCCCCAGAGACGAUGAGCUUGCCCAACGCUACGAGGAAGAAUCCGCGCGGCGCCCUAUACGCACGGUCAGGGCGAUAUCCACGCAGGCGGCCAACCUUCUGGUUCACGCACUCUCUCUCUCAACAACGGAGCUCCCAAGGGCGGCACUCUCUUCA